GAAGGCAGCUGCCUUCUAAGGUGCCUUAUUUUGACCAAGUGUGAAGGCAGCAUGGCAUGUGUCCUUCUCAGCGAAGGCGAUCCCACAGUAUUGCUCACCGGCCGAGAGCUCCAUCGCUCCGUUCCGAUGAACACGGCGGUGGAAGCGGCCGUUUUUGCCGACCGAGGAGUUUAGAAACGCAGGAAGGAACGCUACAGCGGCGGAGAGGCGCUGUGGCAGAGGAGCGGCCGCAGGGAGGAAACUGCGCUGAACGCCCGAAAGCAGCUGGACUUGCGGAGCGUAUUUUGGGGGAAAACACAGCGGGAGCAGCGCCACAGUCAGACAUUCUCCAUGAACGAUGAAAAACAACUUUAACUUAUGUAGAAAUUCAGAAAUAAAACUUUUUUUGAAAUAAA